AUUGCUUUCAAAGCCAUUGGCAUGUUCUUUUGAAUAGCCUUAUCAGUGACAAAACUUCAUAUGUAAAAGGUAGAUUUUUUUUUCCAGAAGGAAAUUAGUAUCUUUGAUAUAUUUUCUGUAUUUGACAGGGUUCUAUUAGAAGCCAGAAACUGGGUCCUUACUGAGCAGAGAGUUAAAGAUGAUGAGAACCAUUUACCAGGUCGGGGACUGAAGUGCAGAAAGGGAUGUGAGGUGUUGCAAAGGGAAGCAGCUGCCUUCUCUGGAGAUGGUGUGGAGGGACAAAGGUGGGUUGUUGGGAUUCUAAAGUCAGAAGGUUUUGAGAACCAGAGGUGCUGGGACACCUAAGGCACUGGUGCCAGUAGCAUGGAGCCUGGACCUGAGGCUCCACUGUCCUGGGGUUCUGGCCUCUGAGGAGAUGCUAUGGCUGGUGCAGUGUUGUGAGAGGGCACCAGGAAGCGGGUUCUAGGAGUGUUGAAAGGAAUGAUUGCAAACCAGAACCACUGUGCUCCUGGAACCAGAUGCUGCUGCCAGGAUGAGGUGGUGUUGCUGGCAAUGGUGAUGGCAACAGGAAGCAGAUGGAAAAGAGAAAACACUCUCCACUCUCGAGACCUUCACAUUCCCUGGUGCAACCCUGGAAGCGAAUGAGGAGGAGAUGACGCUGUGCUGGCUCCACGCCUGAACAGAGAGGCCAAGUGUGAUCAAAGUAUAUGGUAAAUAUUUAAAUUAAAACAUCUAGUAUGGUAAAGGCCACAUUGCCGUGAAUCCCCUCAAGCCAGGCACCUCUGCCUGCCCCACUUGUCCCUUUGUUCUUGCCAUGUUCUGAAGCAGUUCUGGAGUCCGCUUUUGUGAGCGUCUUUACCAGGUGAUUAAAAACAAUGCUGCUGCCAAGUCCAGUCUAAUAGAAAGGCAGAUUCCUUAAAAAAAACUAGUGUAUUUUUUCCCUACUAGUAAAGAUCUACACUAGUAGAUCUGACUUCUGACUUUUUCCCAGUCAAAAUAACAAACGUAAAUAUUUUAAUUGAUUUAGGGCAUACUAUAAAAGAUGGAAAUAUUCACUAUAUUUUUCAAUCAUUGUCUACAAGCCCUUUGUAUCCUCAGGUUCUGCAUCCUUGGAUUCAAGUAACUGUAGAUCAAAAGUG
rnacentral:lncRNA from 1 species